rnacentral:ncRNA from 1 species
UAAACGUUAAUCCAUAUGUAUAUCCUGGGGAUUGGCCCAGAGUCUCUACCAACUACCGUAAAGAGUUGACUACAUAAAAAAGUG